rnacentral:misc_RNA from 1 species
UUUCCGUAGGUGAACCUGCGGAAGGAUCAUUACCGAAUUGUCAACACGAGUUGUUGCUGGUCCUCAAACGGGGACAUGUGCACGCUCUGUUUGCACAUCCAUUCACACCUGUGCACCCUCUGUAGUUCUGCAGCCUGGGGGCUCUGGCCCCCUGCCGUGGUUCUAUAUAUUUACACACACACGCUGUAACAAAGUCUCAUGGAAUGUAUACCGCGCUUAACGCAAUACAAUACAACUUUCAGCAACGGAUCUCUUGGCUCUC